CGGGUUGUAAACCUCUUUCACCAUCGACGAAGGUCCGGGUUCUCUCGGAUUGACGGUAGGUGGAGAAGAAGCACCGGCCAACUACGUGCCAGCAGCCGCGGUAAUACGUAGGGUGCGAGCGUUGUCCGGAAUUACUGGGCGUAAAGAGCUCGUAGGUGGUUUGUCGCGUUGUUCGUGAAAUCUCACGGCUUAACUGUGAGCGUGCGGGCGAUACGGGCAGACUAGAGUACUGCAGGGGAGACUGGAAUUCCUGGUGUAGCGGUGGAAUGCGCAGAUAUCAGGAGGAACACCGGUGGCGAAGGCGGGUCUCUGGGCAGUAACUGACGCUGAGGAGCGAAAGCGUGGGGAGCGAACAGGAUUAGAUACCCUGGUAGUCCACGCCGUAAACGGUGGGUACUAGGUGUGGGUUUCCUUCCUUGGGAUCCGUGCCGUAGCUAACGCAUUAAGUACCCCGCCUGGGGAGUACGGCCGCAAGGCUAAAACUCAAGAAA
rnacentral:rRNA from 1 species